CAGUCGCCACGGGAAUACGAAGGGGGCGAGCGUUGCUCGGAAUGACUGGGCGUAAAGGGCGCGUAGGUGGUACGGACAGUCAGAUGUGAAAUUCCCGGGCUCAACCUGGGGGCUGCAUUUGAUACGUCCGAACUAGAGUGUGGAAGAGGGUCGUGGAAUUCCCAGUGUAGAGGUGAAAUUCGUAGAUAUUGGGAAGAACACCGGUGGCGAAGGCGGCGACCUGGUCCAUUACUGACGCUGAGGCGCGAAAGCGUGGGGAGCAAACAGGAUUAGAUACCCCCGUAGUCCCUGUCUCUUAUAC
rnacentral:rRNA from 1 species